GUAGGAGCCACGCCCAAUCCUCUAAGCCACGCCCCUUUCCAGGGGGCGCUGAGUAAUAUUUUUUUCUGGAAAGGGGGCGGUAGGCCAAAUAGUUUGGGAACCACUGCUAUAAACUAAUGUAAUGAUGACCCAGACUGGCCUUGGAAUAUGAUCUGGAUUAUGUGAUUUUAAUUCUUGCUUUAAUGUUACGUUUUAAUUGGUUGGUUUUUAAUGUUUUUUAUUUAUUCAUUGAUGUAUGUAUACAUGCGGCACUGAAUUGUUGCCUUUGUAAGGAAUUGUGGGAGUUGAAGUCCAAAACCCCUGGAGGGCCUAAGUUUGCCCCUGCCUGGUGCCGAUGCACUCCUACUGGGUUUUGCCCGCCUCUUCCCGCCCCGCCUGCCCUCCCUCCCUCGCCCACUGGAAGGAGUCGCCCCCCGCCUUUAAAGGGGCUCUUCCUCCUCCUGCUCCUCCUCCCCUUGCUUCUCUCCCGGCGUCUCUCUUCCCCGCGCGAGUGGAUCAUCAUGGCAGGAACCCCGCGCGGCUUUUGGCACGAGGCGUCCCACCAGAUCCUGGCCGGCGGCUCGGCGGAAGCUGUAUUUGGAUGAAGUUCUGUAUUCUGACAGAAGCUUGACAGCCUGCCAAAAAAAGUGGAAAUAGAGGCAACGUAAAG
rnacentral:lncRNA from 11 species